rnacentral:rRNA from 1 species
AUACGUAGGGUGCGAGCGUUAAUCGGAAUUACUGGGCGUAAAGCGUGCGCAGGCGGCGCUGUAAGACAGGUGUGAAAUCCCCGGGCUUAACCUGGGAACUGCGCUUGUGACUGCAGUGCUCGAGUGCGGCAGAGGGGGGUGGAAUUCCACGUGUAGCAGUGAAAUGCGUAGAGAUGUGGAGGAACACCGAUGGCGAAGGCAGCCCCCUGGGUCGACACUGACGCUCAUGCACGAAAGCGUGGGGAGCAAACAGGAUUAGAUACCCUGGUAGUCCACGCCCUAAACGAUGUCGACUAGGUGUUGGGGGAGGAGACUUCCUUAGUACCGUAGCUAACGCGUGAAGUCGACCGCCUGGGGAGUACGGCCGCAAGGUUAAA